rnacentral:rRNA from 1 species
AGUCGAACGAGAAUCUGCGGAUCGAGGAUUCGUCCAAGUGAAGCAGAGGACAGUGGCGGACGGGUGAGUAACGCGUGAGGAACCUGCCUUUCAGAGGGGGACAACAGUUGGAAACGACUGCUAAUACCGCAUGAUACGUAUUGGGGGCAUCCCUGAGACGUCAAAGAUUUAUCGCUGAAAGAUGGCCUCGCGUCUGAUUAGCUGGUUGGUGAGGUAACGGCCCACCAAGGCGACGAUCAGUAGCCGGACUGAGAGGUUGACCGGCCACAUUGGGACUGAGAUACGGCCCAGACUCCUAUGGGAGGCAGCAGUGGGGAAUAUUGGGCAAUGGGCGCAAGCCUGACCCAGCAACGCCGCGUGAAGGAAGAAGGCUUUCGGGUUGUAAACUUCUUUUAAGAGGGAAGAGCAGAAGACUGUACCUCUAGAAUAAGCCACGGCUAACUACGUGCCAGCAGCCGCGGUAAUACGUAGGUGGCAAGCGUUGUCCGGAUUUACUGGGUGUAAAGGGCGUGCAGCCGGGAAUGCAAGUCAGAUGUGAAAUCCAUGGGCUUAACCCAUGAACUGCAUUUGAAACUGUAUUUCUUGAGUACUGGAGAGGCAAUCGGAAUUCCUAGUGUAGCGGUGAAAUGCGUAGAUAUUAGGAGGAACACCAGUGGCGAAGGCGGAUUGCUGGACAGCAACUGACGGUGAGGCGCGAAAGUGUGGGGAGCAAACAGGAU